rnacentral:rRNA from 1 species
AUUGAACGCUGGCGGCAGGCCUAACACAUGCAAGUCGAGCUGAGCGGUGGAUGGGUGAGUAAUGCCUAGGAAUCUGCCUGGUAGUGGGGGAUAACGUCCGGAAACGGGCGCUAAUACCGCAUACUAUCAGAUGAGCCUAGGUCGGAUUAGCUAGUUGGUGGGGUAAAGGCCUACCAAGGCGACGAUCCGUAACUGGUCGGAGAGGAUGAUCAGUCACACUGGAACUGAGAAACUGUCCAGACUCCUACGGAGGGCAGCAGUGGGUAAUAUUGGACAAUUGGCGAAAGCCUGAUCCAGCCAUGACGCGUGUGUGAAGAAGGUCUUCGGAUUGUAAAGCUCUUUAAGUUGGGAUACGUUACCAACAGAAUAAUCACCGGCUUGCUUCGUGCCAGCAACCGCGGUAAUAC